rnacentral:rRNA from 1 species
UACGUAGGGUGCGAGCGUUGUCCGGAAUUACUGGGCGUAAAGAGCUCGUAGGCGGUUUGUCGCGUCUGCUGUGAAAACUCAGGGCUUAACCCUGAGCCUGCAGUGGGUACGGGCAGACUAGAGUGUGGUAGGGGAGAUCGGAAUUCCUGGUGUAGCGGUGGAAUGCGCAGAUAUCAGGAGGAACACCGGUGGCGAAGGCGGAUCUCUGGGCCAUAACUGACGCUGAGGAGCGAAAGCAUGGGGAGCGAACAGG